GGAUGUGAGGGCGAUCUGGCUGCGACAUCUGUCACCCCAUUGAUCGCCAGGGUUGAUUCGGCUGAUCUGGCUGGCUAGGCGGGUGUCCCCUUCCUCCCUCACCGCUGCGUCCCUCCCGAAGCUGUGUGCUCGGUCGAAGAGGAAGACCUUCGCCGAUAGAGGAGAGGACCGUUCUUUGGUCAAGGGUAUACGAGUAGCUGCGCUCCACUGCUAGACCCUCCAAACAAGCUCUCAAGGGCUAUCAUGUUUCCCAUGCAAUAUGUAUAUCAGCUCUCUACAUUAGGAUAAAUAAAAUGCUCUCUGAAUUU
ensembl:misc_RNA 7SK 7SK RNA